GGAGAGAUGGCCGAGUGGCUUAAGGCGCAUGCCUGGAACGUGUGUAUGUUGGAAACAGCAUCGGGGGUUCGAAUCCCCCUUUCUCCGCCA
rnacentral:tRNA from 1 species